UGGGGAAUAUUGGACAAUGGGCGAAAGCCUGAUCCAGCAAUACCGAGUGAGUGAUGAAGGCCCUAGGGUUGUAAAGCUCUUUUAGCAAGGAAGAUAAUGACGUUACUUGCAGAAAAAGCCCCGGCUAACUCCGUGCCAGCAGCCGCGGUAAGACGGAGGGGGCUAGCGUUGUUCGGAAUUACUGGGCGUAAAGAGUGCGUAGGCGGUUUAGUAAGUUGGAAGUGAAAGCCCGGGGCUUAACCUCGGAAUUGCUUUCAAAACUACUAGUCUAGAGUGUAGUAGGGGAUGAUGGAAUUCCUAGUGUAGAGGUGAAAUUCUUAGAUAUUAGGAGGAACACCGGUGGCGAAGGCGGUCAUCUGGGCUACAACUGACGCUGAUGCACGAAAGCGUGGGGAGCAAACA
rnacentral:rRNA from 1 species